ensembl:lncRNA novel transcript
AGGGGAUAAAAAGCAGGCCAUGCGAGCCACCUGUGGCAACCCACUUGGGUUCCCUGCGAUGUUGUGGAAGGGUUGUUGUUUUGCUGUUUCCAGUAAAUGUUGGUGUUGCUCAGUUUUUGGGUCCACACUGUGUUUAUGAGCUGUAACACGCACUGCAAAGGUCUGCAGCUUCACUCCUGAGGUCAGCGAGACCAUGAACUCACCAACCUGCUGGGAGGGAUGAACAACUCCGGACGCGCCACGUUUAUGAACUGUAACACCACGAAGGUCUGCAGCUUCGCUCCUGAGGCCAGCACGACCAUGAACCCAUUAGAAGGAAUGAACAACUCCAGACGCGCUGCCCUUAGGAGCCGUAACACUCACUGUGAAGGGAAAACCCCAGCUGACAUCUUUUCUUCUGGAGACAGUACAAGAUGACGUCUUUGGAGGGCUCUUCAAAUAAAGUAUGAUGCAAAUAAAAAGAUUUUGCCUUUUGGAAACU